rnacentral:rRNA from 1 species
GAUGAACGCUGGCGGCGUGCCUAAUACAUGCAAGUCGAACGCACAGCGAAAGGUGCUUGCACCUUUCAAGUGAGUGGCGAACGGGUGAGUAACACGUGGAUAACCUACCUCAAGGUUGGGGAUAACAUUUGGAAACAGAUGCUAAUACCGAAUAAAACUUAGUAUCGCAUGAUACCAGGUUAAAAGGCGCUACGGCGUCACCUAGAGAUGGAUCCGCGGUGCAUUAGUUAGUUGGUGGGUAAAGGCGUUACCAAGACAAUGAUGCAUAGCCGAGUUGAGAGACUGAUCGGCCACAUUGGGACUGAGACACGG